CUCCCUCAAAAUUAUUUUUCAUUUCCCUCCUUAACAUUCAUAAGUAGUAUUCAUUCUUUCAUGCCCUUUUCAUAGUAUUCAAAAUCCAAUGAAACCCUAACGCCCAAAAUUCUAAUUCCUACUCAAUUAUUACCCGCUUAUUCAUCAUCAAUUUCAUCAUCUUCCUAAAAAUACUAUUCGACAGAGAUCCUUUAUUUUUCCUAUUAAAUAAUAAAGAAACAUCAGAAUAUUUGAUGCUUUGUUCUUGCUACAUCUACAUGUCAACAGUUUCGGUUACUGAUGCAAAGUAGUUGCUUGCUAUAUCAGUGGGAUUCGAAGCGCGAAAACGCCCUUUUUCUGUAAUUGAGGAAGCCAAGUGCAGGUCCCUGAUGAUCCAUGUCAAGAAAAUAUAAUUGAUCCCUUAUGCAAAUAGUGACGAUGAACGAGCAACACAAGGACUACUACUGUCAUUUCAAAGUACUGAUAUAUGCAAGGCAUAUAUCUUUGGAGACUAGUUGCGAGAUAUUAUAUGGUCUUGGGAAGGCAAACAACUAUUACUCGAACGUUUAGCCAGAGAUUAAGUGGAUCUUCAGACAUUUUUCGUGUGGAAGGCUUCAUCAUGAUCAAGAGUUAGAGAAAAUUUAAUAUGUAUUUGUUGUAUUGUAUUAUAGCUAUUUGAUAAUAUCAGUUAUUAGACCAAAUGGUACUAGCUAUUAGAUUCAAACAGUUUACUUUUUUGGUUAUGUAGUUGGCACUAUGAAAUUAUGAAUUAAUAGUUAUUUUGCUUAGGAUUUAA